rnacentral:rRNA from 1 species
AACGAACGCUGGCGGCAGGCCUAACACAUGCAAGUCGAACGCCCUAGCAAUAGGGAGUGGCAGACGGGUGAGUAACACGUGGGAACCUUCCCUAUAGUACGGAAUAGCCCAGGGAAACUUGGAGUAAUACCGUAUACGCCCGUGAGGGGAAAGAUUUAUCGCUAUAGGAUGGGCCCGCGUAGGAUUAGCUAGUUGGUGAGGUAAUGGCUCACCAAGGCGACGAUCCUUAGCUGGUCUGAGAGGACGACCAGCCACACUGGGACUGAGACACGGCCCAGACUCCUACGGGAGGCAGCAGUGGGGAAUAUUGGACAAUGGGCGCAAGCCUGAUCCAGCCAUGCCGCGUGAGUGAUGAAGGCCUUAGGGUUGUAAAGCUCUUUUGUCGGGGACGAUAAUGACGGUACCCGAAGAAUAAGUCCCGGCUAACUUCGUGCCAGCAGCAGCCGCGG